rnacentral:rRNA from 1 species
GAUGAACGCUAGCGAUAGGCCUAACACAUGCAAGUCGAGGGGCAUCACAUGAGGCAGCAAUGCCGAUGGUGGCGACCGGCGCACGGGUGAGUAACACGUAUGCAACCUGCCUUCAACAAGGGGAUAACCCGUUGAAAAACGGACUAAUACCCUAUAAUACAGGGGUCCCGCAUGGGGAUAUUUGUUAAAGAUUGAUCGGUUGAAGAUGGGCAUGCGUUCCAUUAGCUAGUUGGCGGGGUAACGGCCCACCAAGGCAACGAUGGAUAGGGGAACUGAGAGGUUUAUCCCCCACACUGGUACUGAGACACGGCCCAGACUCCUACGGGAGGCAGCAGUGGGGAAUUUUGGACAAUGGGGGCAACCCUGAUCCAGCCAUGCCGCGUGAGUGAAGAAGGCCUCGGUUGUAAGACGUCUUUCGUCGAGGGAAGAAAGACGCAGCGGUUAAUACCCGUUCGUGUAUGACGGUACCUUGAUAAGAAGCACCGGCUAACUACGUGCCAGCAGCCGCGGU